rnacentral:hammerhead_ribozyme from 1 species
CUUAUGCUGAGGAGUCCCAUACUAGGACGAAACGGCCGUCCAG